rnacentral:rRNA from 1 species
CGCGGCCUAUCAGCUUGUUGGUGGGGUAACGGCCUACCAAGGCGACGACGGGUAGCCGGCCUGAGAGGGCGACCGGCCACACUGGGACUGAGACACGGCCCAGACUCCUACGGGAGGCAGCAGUGGGGAAUAUUGCGCAAUGGGCGAAAGCCUGACGCAGCGACGCCGCGUGGGGGAUGAAGGCCUUCGGGUUGUAAACCCCUUUCAGCAGGGACGAAGCGAAAGUGACGGUACCUGCAGAAGAAGCGCCGGCUAACUACGUGCCAGCAGCCGCGGUAACACGUAGGGCGCAAGCGUUGUCCGGAAUUAUUGGGCGUAAAGAGCUCGUAGGCGGUCUGUUGCGUCCGCUGUGAAAACUCGGGGCUUAACCCCGAGCCUGCAGUGGAUACGGGCAGACUAGAGGUAGGUAGGGGAGAAUGGAAUUCCCGGUGUAGCGGUGAAAUGCGCAGAUAUCGGGAGGAACACCGGUGGCGAAGGCGGUUCUCUGGGCCUUACCUGACGCUGAGGAGCGAAAGCGUGGGGAGCGAACAGGAUUAGAUACCCUGGUAGUCCACGCCGUAAACGUUGGGCGCUAGGUGUGGGAUCCUUCCACGGAUUCCGUGCCGCAGCUAACGCAUUAAGCGCCCCGCC